rnacentral:rRNA from 1 species
GAGUGGCGGACGGGUGAGUAAUGUCUGGGAAACUGCCCGAUGGAGGGGGAUAACUACUGGAAACGGUAGCUAAUACCGCAUAACGUCGCAAGACCAAAGAGGGGGACCUUCGGGCCUCUUGCUAUCGGAUGUGCCCAGAUGGGAUUAGCUAGUAGGUGGGGUAACGGCUCACCUAGGCGACGAUCCCUAGCUGGUCUGAGAGGAUGACCAGCCACACUGGAACUGAGACACGGUCCAGACUCCUACGGGAGGCAGCAGUGGGGAAUAUUGCACAAUGGGCGCAAGCCUGAUGCAGCCAUGCCGCGUGUAUGAAGAAGGCCUUCGGGUUGUAAAGUACUUUCAGCGGGGAGGAAAGGAGUAAAGUUAAUACCUUUGCUCAUUGACGUUACCCGCAGAAGAAGCACCGGCUAACUCCGUGCCAGCAGCCGCGGUAAUACGGAGGGUGCAAGCGUUAAUCGGAAUUACUGGGCGUAAAGCGCACGCAGGCGGUUUGUUAAGUCAGAUGUGAAAUCCCCGGGCUCAACCUGGGAACUGCAUCUGAUACUGGCAAGCUUGAGUCUCGUAGAGGGGGGUAGAAUUCCAGGUGUAGCGGUGAAAUGCGUAGAGAUCUGGAGGAAUACCGGUGGCGAAGGCGGCCCCCUGGACGAAGACUGACGCUCAGGUGCGAAAGCGUGGGGAGCAAACAGGAUU